CCUACGGGUGGCAGCAGUGAGGAAUAUUGGUCAAUGGGCGCGAGCCUGAACCAGCCAAGUAGCGUGAAGGAUGACUGCCCUCCGGGUUGUAAACUUCUUUUAUAAAGGAAUUAAGUGCGGCACGUGAGCCUUUUUGUCUGUACUUUUUCAUUCCGGCACGGCUAAUUCUGCGCCAGCAGCCGCGGUAAUACGGAGGAUCCGAGCGUUAUCCGGAAUUAUUGGGUUUAAAGGGAGCGUAGAUGGGUUGUUAAGUCAGUUGUGAAAGUUUACGGCUCAACCGUAAAAUUGCAAUUGAUACUGGCAGUCUAGAGUACGGUAGAGGUAGGCGGAAUUCGUGGUGUAGCGGUGAAAUGCGUAGAGAUCAAGAAGAACUCCGAUUGCGAAGGCAGCUUACUAAAAUGUCACUGACAUUGAUGCGCGAAAGUGUGGGUAGCAAACAGGAUUAGAUACCCUAGUAGUC
rnacentral:rRNA from 1 species